rnacentral:rRNA from 1 species
CACGCCCUAAACGAUGUCAACUAGAUGUUGGAGGGGUUAAACCCUUUAGUGUCGUAGCUAACGCGUGAAGUUGACCGCCUGGGGAGUACGGCCGCAAGGCUAAAACUCAAAGGAAUUGACGGGGACCCGCACAAGCGGUGGAUGAUGUGGAUUAAUUCGAUGCAACGCGAAAAACCUUACCUACCCUUGACAUGUCAGGAAUCCCGGAGAGAUUUGGGAGUGCUCGAAAGAGAGCCUGAACACAGGUGC